AGCGAACGCUGGCGGCAGGCCUAACACAUGCAAGUCGAGCGCCCCGCAAGGGGAGCGGCAGACGGGAGAGUAACACGUGGGAACGUACCCUUCAGUUCGGAACAACCCAGGGAAACUUGGGCUAAUACCGGAUACGUCCGUAAGGAGAAAGAUUUAUCGCUGAAGGAUCGGCCCGCGUCUGAUUAGCUAGUUGGUGGGGUAAUGGCCCACCAAGGCGACGAUCAGUAGCUGGUCUGAGAGGAUGAUCAGCCUCACUGGGACUGAGACACGGCCCAGACUCCUACGGGAGGCAGCAGUGGGGAAUAUUGGACAAUGGGCGCAAGCCUGAUCCAGCCAUGCCGCGUGGAUGAUGAAGGCCCUAGGGUUGUAAAGUCCUUUCGGCGGGGAAGAUAAUGACGGUACCCGCAGAAGAAGCCCCGGCUAACUUCGUGCCAGCAGCCGCGGUAAU
rnacentral:rRNA from 1 species